rnacentral:rRNA from 1 species
UACGUAGGGUGCGAACGUUGUCCGGAAUUAUUGGGCGUAAAGGGCUCGUAGGCGGUUUGUCGCGUCGGGAGUGAAAACCAUGGGCUUAACUCAUGGCUUGCUUCCGAUACGGGCAGACUAGAGGUAUGCAGGGGAGAACGGAAUUCCUGGUGUAGCGGUGAAAUGCGCAGAUAUCAGGAGGAACACCGGUGGCGAAGGCGGUUCUCUGGGCAUUACCUGACGCUGAGGAGCGAAAGUGUGGGGAGCGAACAGG